AUAGGAACUGAGGCUUAGUGUAUACGUCCAGGCUAGUUAAUAGUCUCCUUACUGUAAUUGAGGUGAAGUAAUUAAAUGUUCUUCUUCUCUGACCCAGGAAUAUUGAACCUUCUUCUAAGGCUCAUGACACUGGAGUAAAUAACUAACUUGAGUAUAGAAUAAAAUCCAUGCAGGAUUUUCACAAGAGGGUGACGGUAUUGAUAAGUUGGAAGAUUGGGAUUGAUAUAGACACGCUACUAUAUAUAAGAUGUUCAAAGCAAUCUUAGUCAUUGAUGAGUAUGAUUCCAUUUAAUCUACUCACAAGCCGUUGAACUCUACACAACCCCAAACUCACCAUCAUAUUGGACUAGUUCAUGACUUUGCUUUUGGCUGCCUUGGGCCUUUGCGGCAUGUGAGGAUCUUUCACUGUGGCACCCGGACUCCCUAGCUGUGGCGUGGGCCUCGGAGUUGCAGUGCCUAGCCUCUCUAGCUUGGCACAUGGGCUUAGCUGCUCCACACUGGCAUGUGGGACCUUAGUUCUCCUGCCAGGAAUUGAACCCCCAUCCCCUGCAUUGCAGGGCAGAUUCUUCACCGCUGGAUCACCAGGGAAGCCCCAGUUCAUGACUUUAAAGAGUGUUACAGUUUACGUUACCAUUCUUAUAGUGACAUAGACCUAGUGAAUAUAAUUUGUGAAAUGACAGCUCGUAACAGGAAGAAUCUGAAGAAUAAUUUUAAAGUGAGCAGUGAAUGGAAAUAACCACCGUUCCCUCAAAACCUGCUCUGCAAAACUUAAGAAAUGAUGAAUUACUCAUAACACUUGCUCAUUUGUGUUCUGACUCAUUCGCCUUUUAACAUUAUGUUAAAGGAAGUUAACAACACAGAAAGUUAACCCAAGCUUAUCAGAGUGUGCAGGACAGAAUUAUCUGUAACAAAUUUUAAAGAAGCUUAUGUUAAUUGGCUCUAUUUAAAAAUCCUUUUUUUUUCUGUUGAGGCUAGAAUUUAUUAUUACAGCAGAAUACCAAAGAAACAGGAAUAAUUAUGUUUCCUAUAACACUGUUUUUGGUGUGCUAAUUGAAAGCUCUCUGCUUUGGGUCUUUAGUGGGGGCAGGACAGGAGAGAUUCUUCAUAUAAAGUUCUAAUUCUUCUGAAAAAGGCNNNNNNNNNNNNNNNNNNNNAGAUAUUACAAUGUAAAUGAAAGAAUUUUGACCAUUUAAAUGUGCGAAUGAUCAUGUAAAAACAGUAGUCUUGAGAGAAUUUUUUUACUAAGUUGCAUGUUAAGUCAAGAGGCGUACAAUCCACCUGCAGUGGUAAAAUCUAUUUUUUAUAGUUUGCUUUGGAACUGGUAUGAGACACCAAAAAUAAACCUAUCCAGGAUUAACUAACCUUU
rnacentral:lncRNA from 1 species